AUGGGGAUCCACCCCCACCCCUCUGCGCCCUUUGGGCUCAUUCCACUCCCACUGGGACCCAUCCCAACACUUUGUGUCCUUUGGGAUCUCUCAGAUCCCACUGGGAUCCAUCUCAAUGCCUUUGUGCCCAUUGGGAUCUCUCCAGUCCUAUCAGGAUCUAUCCGAACACUUUGGGAUCUCUCCAAUCCCAUGGGGAUCCAUCCCAACACCUCUGCGCCCAUUGGGAUCAUUCCAAUCCCACUGGGAUCCAUCCCAACACUUUGUGUCCUUUGGGAUCUCUCAGAUCCCACUGGGAUCCAUCUCAAUGCCUUUGUGCCCAUUGGGAUCUCUCCAAUCCUAUUGGGAUCUCUCCAGUCCUAUCAUGAUCUAUCCCAACACUUUGGGAUCUCCCCGAUCCCAUGGGGAUCCAUCCCAACACCUCUGUGUCCAUUGGGAUCACCCCAAUCCCAUGGGGAUCCAUCCCAACACCUCUGUGUCCUUUGGGAUCGCUCCAAUCCCAUUUUGGUGCUGCAGCUGCAAAUUCAAUCAAUUCCCUACUUUGUUUCUAUUUUUAACUCCUUUUCCCCACUUAAUUACCCUUUUUUUACCCCAAUUCCCCACCCCAUUUCCUCAUCCCGCCCUAUUUCCCCUAAGAUUUACCAAAUCUCCUCGGGCCGUCCCCGAGAAAACUUACAAACUGAAGCAGAAAAAUGGGUAAUUUUGGGGUUAUUUUCACCUAUUUCUGCUGAAACACAUGAAUUAUCAAGGGUGGUUUCGGGGCAGGUUCAGUUGAACGGUAUCAACGGACAGUAUUGUUUUUUUUUUUUUAAUUAUUAUUAUUUUUUACUGUUUUGUGUCUCUGUGAUUUCUCAACGCGUGGGGGGUCCUCCUGUGGGUGCACAAAAUGGGGAGAAAACACCCAGAUUUGGGUCAGCUGCACAGGACGUUGGAACUGAACAACGUGGACUCAUCACUUCACACGGAGCUGCAGCCGCUCACGCUGGGUUUACCCAAUUCCCCAUUUCUGUACCCAAAACGGGAGAAAAAAAAAAAAAAAAAAAAAAAAUGGGCCUUUUUCAGUUGUCUGGGUUUGUUCUUUUUUUUUAA
rnacentral:lncRNA from 1 species